AGAGCUCAAAUUUAAAAUCUGGCAGUCUAAUCGCUGUCCGAGUUGUAAAUUAGAGAAGUGCUAUCCGUUCUGGCCUGUGCAAAAGUCCCUUGGAAAAGGGCAUCACAGAGGGUGACAAUCCCGUCUUUGGCACAGAUUCCCAGAGCUUUUGUGAUGCGCUCUCAAUGAGUCGAGUUGUUUGGGAAUGCAGCUCCAAAUGGGUGGUAAAUUCCAUCUAAAGCUAAAUACUGGCGAGAGACCGAUAGCGCA
rnacentral:rRNA from 1 species